AGCGAACGCUGGCGGCAGGCUUAACACAUGCAAGUCGAGCGGGCAUCCUUGUGGUGUCAGCGGCAGACGGGUGAGUAACGCGUGGGAACGUGCCCUUCGGUUCGGAAUAACUCAGGGAAACUUGAGCUAAUACCGGAUACGUGCGAGAGCAGAAAGGUUUAUCUGCCGAAGGAUCGGCCCGCGUCUGAUUAGCUAGUUGGUGAGGUUAUGGCUCACCAAGGCGACGAUCAGUAGCUGGUCUGAGAGGAUGAUCAGCCACACUGGGACUGAGACACGGCCCAGACUCCUACGGGAGGCAGCAGUGGGGAAUAUUGGACAAUGGGGGCAACCCUGACCCAGCCAUGCCGCGUGAGUGAUGACGGCCUUAGGGUUGUAAAGCUCUUUUCUUCGGGACGAUAAUGACGGUACCGGAGGAAUAAGCCCCGGCUAACUUCGUG
rnacentral:rRNA from 1 species